CAGAAGUGAAUUUGCUGCUUUAUGCACUCAGGAAGCUGAUUUCGUGUCGUGAACUCUACAGUUGAAUAUAUUUAGUCCCUCUACACAAGCAGGCACAAACGUCCUUUUGAUUUAUUUAUUUUUGAAUUAGGCCGCAUAAGUAGGCAGCAGUUACAAUCAAUGGUGAUGCAGAUUGAAGUACAGGCAAGAUUGCACCUUUAGUAACAUCAGUAUCAACUAUCAAGUAUGUUUAAUCUCAUUUAUCCGUAAGCUUAAUAUGUUGUAUACUUGUAUGGUGAUGCAGAGUUGAAGUACACUGCAAUCUGCACUGGGAUGUCCGUAAGCUUAAUCUCAUUUAUCCAUUGAAGGAGGUCGUCCUUGUGAUCACUGGAAACAUGUUUGUGAUUGAGGCACACAGCAAAAUGGCUCACACUCACCACCAUUACUCGAAGGACCAUCUCCAUAUACGAGUUGCUUUACCUGAAAGCAGAUUUCUGAAGAUAUAUAUUUUUUUGUAUUUGUUUUAUAUUUUUGGACAACUGGUUGUUUAUAUUGGUGGAGAUCCAGUGCUUUACAGAGCCCGCAUAUAAAGGUAAUGUGUAUUGCUAUUUUUCUUACUUAGUAGCAUUAGAAUCUCCCCAUCUCUUUAUACGGAGGUGAUGGCGAAGGAGGAAGAGUUGUGUCAGGCCCAGCUCAAGCUAGAUGAAGAAGAGGAGGCCAGAAAGAGAGAAUCAGCAAGGCAGAAGCCUUUUGAUCUCAAGGCACGAUUCUGCGGGUUGGUGAGCUACUAACAAAGACACACCUCUAUUCUGAAUUUCUACUUGAAAAAGAUGGACCAUAAGCUACGGAAUAUGUUCGCUGUUGACAUUGGUGGUGGUGUCUUUUGGUUCAACAUGAAGUUGUUUAAGUGAAAAAUGCAGUGGAACAUGUGGAACAAAGGACGUGGUAUGGAAAGGAAAGCAAAGCAAAGCCUAAACAGUACAAUGAUGCAGGUUCAGAUUUCAUAUGUUAUCUUCCCUGCCUCAGGAAUAUGAAAUGGUUGUCUUCUAGAUUAUGAACGUGUCUUUAUUUGUCAUGUAUUGUCGAUGCACUGUGUAGUCUGUACUAAUUCUACUGAGACUGCUUGAUCUCUUAUCAUUCACACUUCGGAAUUUUCUAAUUAUCUUAUUAUUAGUAGUAUCAUCCUUCCAACGUACUGAUUCACAAAUCUUAGCUAAUUAGGAAGGAACUACAUGUUUAUCCAUUCUUUUUCAGAUAUGGUGCUCUUGUAGGCAAAGUAGAUGCAUAAUUCUUUUGGAAGGAAGGGCAGGCACACUAGAUAAUGAUGUAUUAUGUUUCUGGCCCAGAACAGGCAGCCCCCAUCAUCCACAACCUUGAUUCCACAGUAUACCCCGCUGAUAUGAUCUAGAGGAGCGAGGAGCUGGGCAAGGAGUCACUGCCGGUUCACAUGACCGAGAAGGGGUACGCGAUUUUGGGAAGAGAUGCAGGAAGACUGGAAGAAGAUUGACUUCAGUCGCUUCGGCAUCGCCGGCAGCGCCGAUGGGAUCCUGCUUUAUUCCGAAGAACUGAUUUUAUAUGAUUCUGAACCUAGCCGUCCAACAUCAUAUCUGUCCAGCUAUACAAGCUUGUAUGCAGCCAAGUUAGUUGCUUUAUUAUGGACUCAACGAGGAAGAGCACUACCACUUUUUCAGAAUUUGAUUUUGUGAACCUUCAUGUUGCACUAUCACAUAUUGCACAUGAGUUGAUUCA